CAGUAGCCGCGGUAAUACGAAGGGGGCUAGCGUUGUUCGGAAUCACUGGGCGUAAAGGGUGCGUAGGCGGGAUCUUAAGUCAGGGGUGAAAUCCCGAGGCUCAACCUCGGAACUGCCUUUGAUACUUGGGUCCUUGAGUCCGGAAGAGGUGAGUGGAACUGCGAGUGUAGAGGUGAAAUUCGUAGAUAUUCGCAAGAACACCGGUGGCGAAGGCGGCUCACUGGUCCGGAACUGACGCUGAGGCACGAAAGCGUGGGAGCAAACAGGAUUAGAUACCCCCGUAGUCCCUGUCUCUUAUACC
rnacentral:rRNA from 1 species